GCCUGGGUGGCUCAGUCGGUUAAGCGUCCGACUUCAGCUCAGGUCAUGAUCUCACAGUUCGUGGGUUCGAGCCCCGCGUCAGGCU
rnacentral:tRNA from 1 species